AGCGAACGCUGGCGGCAGGCUUAACACAUGCAAGUCGAGCGGGCACUUUCGGGUGUCAGCGGCGGACGGGUGAGUAACGCGUGGGAACGUGCCCUCUGGUUCGGAAUAACUCAGGGAAACUUGAGCUAAUACCGGAUACGCCCUUUUGGGGAAAGGCUUGCUGCCGGAGGAUCGGCCCGCGUCUGAUUAGCUAGUUGGUGAGGUAACGGCUCACCAAGGCGACGAUCAGUAGCUGGUCUGAGAGGAUGAUCAGCCACACUGGGACUGAGACACGGCCCAGCCCCCUACGGGGCCGAAGUGGGGAAAAUUGGACAAUGGGGCCAAGCCUGGUCCGCCCGUGCCGGGUGAGUGAUGAAGGCCUUAGGGUUGUAAAGCUUUUUUAGCCGGGACGAUAAGGGCGGAACCGGGGGAAAAAGCCCCGGCGAACUUCGU
rnacentral:rRNA from 1 species